AGAGCAGUUCCGGAGGCUUGGACUCAAGGGCAGCGGCGGCGGCGGCAGCGGCGGCAGCAGCAGCAGCAGUAGCAGCAGCAGCAGGAAGGGUUGCUGAUCCCGGAGCUGUCACCCGCAGCAUAGACCACGGUUUAUAAGACAGUGUUAUAACUGCAACAAAGCUGAUGAACACCAAAGGAAAACAGGGGAGAAGGAAGAGCAAAACCGAUUUUUGUUUCUCCUGACAACCAGACACAGAGACCCUGCAGAGGAUCUGGUGGAUGCAUUUAUCAGGAAAAAUGCCCACUUCUCCUAGAGGGCCAAGAAGACUUGAAAAUGUAAAUCCCAUCCACCAACCUCCAGUCCCAUCCCCCACCCUAAAUGACGCAUCUCCAAAUUCUCUUUUAAAAUGCUUAUUGUAUUCCACCUUCACACCUAUCAAUACGUUCACAAAUGAUAUUCAUAAUUACUCCUUGAGCUUUUCUGCAAGGGAACAACUGAAGGGUUACAUUUUAACUUGAUCACAUAAAUUAUCUGUUCAUCCAAACCGAUUAACCAAGAGGAUUUGAGGGUCACUCCACUCAGUCUGUCUGUGUUGUUGAUUUUCGAAUCUUUGGUUUUAAUUUCCUGAACCAGUUGGUUUUUACUGCAGGGCUUCCUGCCAUUAGCUCCAGCUCCGGAAGAACGCAUGCGCCAAUUAGAGCAUCAAAGCCCUCUCCGCAGAGCUUGUUUCCAUAAAAUGGAGCGGAUCACAAACAAUAACAGUUCUCCAGAAACUGCCUCCCUGCUACAGAACUCAACCCCCAAACCCAGACGAACUCCACGCUACACCCUAAGCCACCACUACCAUUUUCUUGGCUUAUAAUUCUUUUGGAGUAUGAAUAGUGGGUUCUCUAUGGACUGUUAGGAUUUUUAAUGUAAUGCUACUGUAGUUGAGUUUUCUGGCACUGAACAAUUGCUGAUUUCCUAAACAGUUAUAUUACUACCAAUCUCUGACAUCAUCAACAAAAGGAAUUCAUAGGAUUCUUCCUCAAAUAAUACGGUUUUAAACAUUUUAAAACAUAAUUUACAAAGCUAGAAAAACUGAAUUGUAAUAUAGCUCCUCAAAUACAAGAUGUGAAUAAAAUGACUUCUUUA